UACAGAGGUCUCAAGCGUUGUUCGGAUUCAUUGGGUGUAAAGGGUGUGUAGGUGGCGCGCUAAGUCGGGUGUGAAAUUUCGGAGCUUAACUCCGAAACUGCAUUCGAUACUGGCGUGCUUGAGGACUGGAGAGGAGACUGGAAUUCAUGGUGUAGCAGUGAAAUGCGUAGAGAUCAUGAGGAAGACCAGUGGCGAAGGCGGGUCUCUGGACAGUUCCUGACACUGAGACACGAAGGCCAGGGGAGCAAACGGG
rnacentral:rRNA from 1 species